AUGGGCAGAGCACCUGAGGUCUGCAGUCAGCAGCCCAGUCCGGGUGAUGCCUCCUGGGAAGGGGCCCAGACUUGGGAGUAACGGCGUCACUGAUGUGGGUCCCUGGCCCCACUGUGGGGUGUUCAGGGUUGUGCCUAUUGGACUGCCCGCCUCACCAUCCCACCCUAGUGAGCCUCCUUCCUCAGCCAUUGUCCAGCUUCGUGUCUGAAGUCCUGGCGUGGGGCUCACCGCCUGCCCCUUGACCGUGGAGUUCGGAUGCAUCUCACAGUGAGUGCCCCAGCAGCACAGGGUUGGGGGCUGAGCAUCAGGGGCUCUGCUAGAGCAGGUGGCAAUUCCCUGGAACCUGGGGUCUUGCCUUUGUUUGGAGACCAAGAGACUCAGUGUGGGAGGGUCACAGGACAUGUCAUUGGCAGUGAAAAGGUUGUGUUCCGUUUCCUGCCUCCAGAACUUGCACGUGCUGGAAUCCAAGGAUGGGUGGGAGAGGGGCUGUUCCUGGAGAUGUCUGCCCUUCGGGGCUGGCCCAUGCCACAGGACCUCCCAUCACCCCUGCUGCCUUGGUUGGUGAAUUCAGGGCAUGCUGAGCCUUUCCCUUGCAGCCUUUGCACUUGGUACUCUUCCCUCCGCUUAUCAAACUCCUAA
rnacentral:sRNA from 1 species